UUGAACGCUGGCGGAAUGCUUUACACAUGCAAGUCGAGCGGCAGCGCGGGGGCAACCCUGGCGGCGAGCGGCGAACGGGUGAGUAACAUAUCGGAACGUACCCUAUCGUGGGGGAUAACACAUCGAAAGAUGUGCUAAUACCGCAUACGACCUGAGGGUGAAAGCAGGGGAUCGCAAGACCUUGCGCGACAGGAGCGGCCGAUAUCGGAUUAGCUAGUUGGUGGGGUAAAGGCUCACCAAGGCGACGAUCCGUAGCUGGUCUGAGAGGACGACCCGCCACACUGGAACUGAGACACGGUCCAGACUCCUACGGGAGGCAGCAGUGGGGAAUUUUGGACAAUGGGGGCAACCCUGAUCCAGCCAUUCCGCGUGAGUGAAGAAGGCCUUCGGGUUGUAAAGCUCUUUCAGCAGGAGCGAAACGGUCGUUUUUAAUACAGACGGCUAAUGACGGUACCUGCAGAAGAAGCACCGGCUAACUACGU
rnacentral:rRNA from 1 species